rnacentral:rRNA from 1 species
CUGGCUUUCCCUUCGGGGACUAGGACACAGGUGCUGCAUGGCUGUCGUCAGCUCGUGUCGUGAGAUGUUGGGUUAAGUCCCGCAACGAGCGCAACCCUCGCCAUUAGUUGCCAUCAUUUAGUUGGGAACUCUAAUGGGACUGCCGGUGCUAAGCCGGAGGAAGGUGGGGAUGACGUCAAGUCCUCAUGGCCCUUACAGGGUGGGCUACACACGUGCUACAAUGGCGACUACAGAGGGUUAAUCCUUAAAAGUCGUCUCAGUUCGGAUUGUCCUCUGCAACUCGAGGGCAUGAAGUUGGAAUCGCUAGUAAUCGCGGAUCAGCA